UACGGAGGGCGCAAGCGUUACUCGGAAUCACUGGGCGUAAAGAGCGUGUAGGCGGGUGAAUAAGUUUGAAGUGAAAUCCUAUAGCUUAACUAUAGAACUGCUUUGAAAACUGUUCACCUAGAAUAUGGGAGAGGUAGAUGGAAUUUCUGGUGUAGGGGUAAAAUCCGUAGAGAUCAGAAGGAAUACCGAUUGCGAAGGCGAUCUACUGGAACAUUAUUGACGCUGAGACGCGAAAGCGUGGGGAGCAAACAGG
rnacentral:rRNA from 1 species